rnacentral:rRNA from 1 species
CAGUAGCCGCGGUAAAACGAGGGGGGCAAGCGUUGUCCGGAAUUAUUGGGCGUAAAGGGCUCGCAGGUGGUUUCUUAAGUCUGAUGUGAAAGCCCCCGGCCCAACCGGGGAGGGUCAUUGGAAACUGGGAAACUUGAGUGCAGAAGAGGAGAGUGGAAUUCCACGUGUAGCGGUGAAAUGCGUAGAGAUGUGGAGGAACACCAGUGGCGAAGGCGGCUCACUGGCUCAUUCUAGACGCUGAGGUGCGAAAGCGUGGGGAGCAAACAGGAUUAGAUACCCGCGUAGUCCCUGUCUCUUAUAC